rnacentral:sRNA from 1 species
CAGUCUGUCCUCCUCACAGAAGCCUGGAGCUGGGCAUCCAGGAAGAAGCAGCCUCAUUUGUUUUCUGGUGUCAUCGUAGGUGGCCACCUAUGGCUUUUGGGCUUCUCACCUGGGGCGGGUGGGUGCUGCACUACCCUCUCACCCUCCUUCCUCCGUGUGGACGACAGAGCCACAUCCAGCACCACGGACAGCUCCCGGGCGAUCCCAUGGGAGUAGAAGAGGUGUGAGCAGGUUGCCCAGCUGGUUAGCGGAAAUGCCAAGAUUCAGGCUCCUGAAUUUCAGCCUGGCCCUUUUUAUCUGUCUGAUACCUCCUUUAGGAGUCUCUCUGCCUGAGUUGGGUGGAGCGGGCCUGCUGCUGUUUGGGGGAGUGUGCAGGUUGCCCAUAUGCAAAAAAGGACAGGAUGCAUGACUGGGCAUGUGAGGUGUUCAGGAAAACCAGGAAAAGCCUUCAUCUCCUCGUCCUCCAGGCAGCACAAGCCAUUGUGGAAUCUCCACCGGGUGUACAGAAUGGUGCCUCUGCGUCCUGCCACUCAGGACCUCUCGAGUCCCCAAUGUGAUGACUCCUCAGCGUCAUCAGGA